UGCAGGUUCAACAAUUAACAAUUCAAAAAAGUCACAAAGUGUACCAAUCAAUUAUGGGUGUGAAGGUGGAGUACUGUGGCGAAUUGAAUAUUUUGUUAUAUGUUAUAUAAAUAGAUGGAUAUUUUAUGUGACAUUACACAAUUAAUAAUGUUCCUCCAGCUCAAAAGGUACAGCAUUGUGUUAGCAGAGAAAAGGUUUCCAUUUCCGAUUUCCAGAGAACGCACAAUAUGAUGCAUACCUUGAAUGCUUUGGAUAACAGCAUCUGUCAAAUGCGUAAAUGUAAAUAUAAACAUUACACAAUAUAAAGAUUCGUUUAGAGACUUUAAAACAGUAGAAGAACCAUGUUACACAGGUACCAGACACUUCCAUGUUACAUGCGGGUGGUGGGGUUUAUGUUCAUGACAUCACAAAAGAGAAGCCAUUUUUAAUCACCUGCUGUUUGUUUUGUUUUUGUAACCAUGAGGUCAGCAGCAGAACAAAGGUGACUGUGAUGUUGCGGGCGGAUUUGUUGAGAAGAGACGGAGCCGGCAGUCAUCGCCCGUGACGUCUGCUGACAGAUCAAGUUUCUCAAUCUCCAUCCCGGUCAAUGCCAAGGCGAGUUUGGAACAGAGGCACAUAGUUAGAAAUUCAUCUCUCCGGUGUCAAGUCUGCAGCGUGUCGAGCAGACAUGUGAGCGCGACGCAUGUGGGCCCGUGACUGGGCUCAUCUGAAUGACCCUGUCAUAAACCUCAGCGCGACUGAAAUAGCAUCAAGGUCAACACAGCUCCAAGCAAAAUGAGAUUCCCAAAGGAAAGUAAAACCGAAGCAUAUGACCCCCCGCCGGUGCAAAUCAAUACUGCAAACAUCUCCAAUGCUCCAAACCACCCCACGUCUGUGAAGAUGGAUCAAUCGUCUAUCAUGAAGGCUCGUAGCUUUGAAUAAAAGAUUUGUAUGGUGUGUCUCUCCAGCACCAAGGGCUGCAUCUUCCCUCCUGGAUCAAUAAUGAUGCUUUGUAGAGUUUCCUUAAGCCUUAAAUACACAGCUCCCACAGUGACGUCUCUUGAGCCGAUGUAUAUUUGACUGGUGGGUGUAACUUCUUUCCCAUCAGUGAUUUUACUUCAAGGAACUUUAGCCAUGUUAGGGAAACGCCUUUUGAUGGAUGUACACAGUCCCAUACGCAUUUGACUGUGUACACAUUUCACACCCUCCUUAUAAGGAACAUGCAAGAACUGCAAACGCUCCAUCAGGCGUAGAAUGUGGGGGACUGUAAGCAGUCAUGCAGGAGCUUCCCGUGUGCUAGGAAAAUAGUUGUGCAGGCAUGAUGACGUGCGUGUGUGCAGCAGGCGAAACGUGAACGAAAAUAAAUUAAAUGUAUAUAUUUUUUUAAUAGAUACAUGUCCAUUAUACCCUGUAAAGCUGCAGUUAGUUGAAUGACCUUAAUAAACUCUGUAAAGAGUUAUAACUGACUAGUGAAUAAGUGAGAUGAUUAUCUCAUGUUUUUCUUACGUAUUUUUGAUGUUGUUUUUAUGGGUGCACACUAAAAAAUGUUAGGUUAUUUCAACCCAUCAUUGGGUCAAAAAUGGACAAACCCAAAGUUGGGUUAAAUAAACCCAGAGAAUGUUUAUGUUUGACCCAACAUUACCAGCAUAAGUGAUUUUAUAACCCAACGGUUGGGUUUGUCCAUUUUUGACCCAACGAUGGGUUGAAAUAACCCAACAUUUUUAAACAGCCUGCACUGUGAAACUCUCUUUUAAGUCUUUAAACAAAUCCCUUUUACAGCACCGCAACUACACUCACGUUUAACUUAAAUGAACUGAAUUUAAACAAAUUUAAACAAAUGCCUUUGACACAGACAUGAGACCCUUGUCGUCUGCGCCGUACCAUUGUGCAGCUUUGCAGCUGUUGAAUGCAGAAAUGUCUCUUCUAAACCACAGGGUUUCCUUAAAGAUGCAAUCUAACUUUUUUGGUUGGAAAUAAACAGGAAUCGCUUAUUGAGCAAGUACGUAAAUAAAGUGUUCUCCCUUUAUUUUUACACUCUAAAAAAUGUUGGGUUAUUUUUACAGUGUUGGGUCUAAAAUGGACAAACAGAAUUGU